rnacentral:rRNA from 1 species
AUGGAUGAAAUCGAGGAAGGGUGGCAUCUGGUGCUCGAGAAAUGCAGACUGUGGACACAUCCGUACAUCUCUCGGCUCUUUGAGAGUGGACACAAGUGGGCAAAGUCAUAUUUCAAAGGUGUGUUAUGUGCUAAGAUGGCAAGUACUCAGAGUAGCGAGAGCACAAAUCACAUGCUCAAGAAUUAUGUGCCUCCUGGUUGCUGGAUGCAUAUGUUUGUUAAGAAGUACAUGAGGCUGCAGUUUGAUCGUGUGUCCGAUGAAAACUAUGAAGUGAAGAGAACAAGAAUUGGGAGACCGCUGAUGAGGUAA